GGGGAAUAUUGCGCAAUGGGGGAAACCCUGACGCAGCAAUACCGCGUGAGUGAAGAAGGUUUUCGGAUCGUAAAGCUCUGUUAUUGGGGAAGAAAAAAAGACGGUACCCAAGAAGAAAGUCCCGGCUAACUACGUGCCAGCAGCCGCGGUAAUACGUAGGGGACAAGCGUUGUCCGGAAUUACUGGGCGUAAAGGGCGCGUAGGUGGAUGCUUAAGUCAGAUGUGAAAACUCCGGGCUCAACUUGGAGAUUGCAUUUGAAACUGGGUAUCUUGAGGGUAGGAGAGGAAAGUGGAAUUCCUAGUGUAGCGGUGAAAUGCGUAGAUAUUAGGAGGAACACCAGUGGCGAAGGCGACUUUCUGGACUAUACCUGACACUGAGGCGCGAAAGCGUGGGGAGCGAACG
rnacentral:rRNA from 2 species